rnacentral:lncRNA from 1 species
CAGAAGUCAGGUUCAAAUCAAGCCGGCUCUCACUCACCGUGCUGCGUGAAGAAACGAGACGUGAUGUGAACUGAAGACUGAACAGCAGCCUUAUGCUCAGAUCGCGUUUUUUACUGUAAGUGGAAUCUAUUACCACAAUUGAAGUGAGAAAUUGCCACUACGUCUUAAAUGUUCAACUGCAGAACACACACUUAAGUCUUUUUUAUUGUAAUCAUACGGUAGCCACUGUUAGAAAACCACAACAGCUACUGUGGAUGGAGACCCCCGGGUCAGUGUAUGACAUCCAAAGUGUUACGGAGAAAACCGGUCAGAUUAAUUCCUACAGACGGGUGCUUAAGCUUAAAAAUAUCGAAUAUACCUCUGACAAGAUAAUUUUAACUCUCUUUUUAAAAGGACUCGUGAUAAAGAAUUUUAUCUUUUCUAAAUGAAGAACAGUCUGUUAUCUUAAACAUACACAAUAUUAAGCGAGACUCUCGUUUUACUUUAGACUGGAAAAAUAUGCCAGGGACAGUCAAAGUCAACACAAAGUAACAAACAGCAAAAGGUAGCAGAGAGAGAAACAGAUAAGUGCAGCUCUGGUCAAAUUCAUAGCAGUUCUUUACGUCAGUUAACGGCUCAUUUACAUCGUAAUUUCUAAUCAGUUACAUGCAAGCCCAAAGAAGCAUUUGAUCACUACACAUGGUAAUAAAAUUUGAUUAAAUUUAUCAGGCAACUGCUAAAAUAUGAAAAUUUGCAGAUGUAAUAAAGUAGCUUUAUCUGAACUUUAAGAGGACAGACAAAAGUAAAUCAUUCCAUCGGUUAAAAAAACCCUACAUUCAGUUUUUUACCAAACAAAAUUUCACAUGAAAAGUAUUGUGUGAUUCCAAAGUUUCCAGAGUAGAAAUGGAGUGAUUUGAAAUGUCAAAGACCCCAUCGUUUUGCAAAGAAAUGAAAAUACACCUCAAAAAUUUCUAAUUCCACAUGUGAACAACAAAAUACUGCAUAUCUACCAACAACUGCAUUGGGUAGGUCAUUAUGAAAGGCUAGCUGCCAAGAUGUAGGAAAUGGCUCCUUGCCUCUGUUCCCUUUGAGGAAUAUACAAUCGUUUGAACCCAGUUCACACUAAGCGCUUAUCAUGCUGCCGUUACACUGAGAUACUCAGUCCUUAAAAUAAUCUGAUAAAGAUUUUUUUAAAGCUGCAGCCCUCCCCAGCACUGUACUUCUCAGCGUACACAGUUCAUAGGGGGCAGGGAGGAGCGGGGUCACAGCCUCUGGAACAACAUGUUUUGCAGUUUGACUUUAAGUUACCAAGUUUUAAGGCCACCUGUGUUGGUUUAUUUUUCAGUGCUGAACGUUGAAGUCUGAUCACAGGGCCCCUUUCCCCACUGCGUGAGAACAUGUUCCAAGAUUUUAGGUGUUAUAUUUAAGUGUCUCCUUUUGGCACCACGGAGUUUGUUGUUGUUUUUUUUGUUUUUGUUUUUUUUUAAAAAAAAAAAAGAAAGAAAGAAAGAAAGAAAGCAAACUCUAAGUUUCUAGUUCUGGCUGCCUUUAUCGCUCACUGCCACAGGCGGGGUGUCCACGUUAACAGCUAUCACUAUGCUCUCUCCAUCCUCUGUUUUGAUACGUUUCAGUUCCUGCUGUUCCGACUGGUCUCCGUUCUGCCGCUUUGUUGGAAGCGAUGCCGAUGCGGACGCAUGGGUUGCUAACAUAUGCAAUGGACUUGCAGCAGCAGCAUUGCCCUGCCCUUGUAUUGCAGUGGUGAUAGGUACUAUGUGCGUUCCGUUUUGC